rnacentral:rRNA from 1 species
UGAGACAGGUCGGACUUUAUCUGCUGGGAGUGUUGGUUGCCUGAGGGGAAAGGGUUCCCAGUACGAGAGGAACGGAACGUUGUAGCCCAUAGUCUACCGGUUGUCCGACAGGGCACUGCCGGGCAGCCACGCUGUCGCGGAUAAGAGCUGAAAGCAUCUAAGCUCGAAGCCGCUCCCGAAAAUAGGC